UGAUUGGCAUUUUCCUGAUUCUGUUUAUGUCACUUUGCAUCAGUUCAUGUAUCAAGACAUAUUUGCACAAGAGAAGGAAUUUGUAAGUGGCACAAUGAAUCUAAUGCUGGAUCUGGAGUCAGGAGCCAAUCAGGGCUGGGUUCAAAUUCAGCCCUAGACACUACCUCUCUGAUCUUGGGGCUCUUGUAAGGAGCAAAUAAGCUACGAUGCUGUGCCAUGUAUCCUAUCAGUAUGUUUGACUGAUGCAAUUCCUCAUCUAGACUAGGCUGGUGAGCCAGCUUCUCAGAGAAUCAUCACGAUGUGUAACACAAGUACCUUGAAGAGAUUUGGAGGUCCUGGAAAUCCCAAGGAACAGAUCAUUACAGAAUUUAUCUGAAGUCCAUUCAUGUCAAUUAAGCUAGCUUUGAAGAGGAAAAAG
rnacentral:lncRNA from 1 species